AUUGAACGCUGGCGGCACGCCUAACACAUGCAAGUCGAGCGGUAGCAUGGAUAGUAGCAAUACUAUCUGAUGACGAGCGGCGGACGGGUGAGGAAAACGUGGGAAUCUACCCUCAAGCGGGGGACAACCAAGGGAAACUUUGGCUAAUACCGCAUAAUCUCGAGAGAGCAAAGCUGCCGUAAGGUGGCACUUGAGGAGGAGCCUGCGUCCGAUUAGCUAGUUGGUGGGGUAAGAGCUCACCAAGGCGAUGAUCGGUAACUGGUCUGAGAGGACGACCAGUCACACUGGGACUGGGACACGGCCCAGACUCCUACGGGAGGCAGCAGUGGGGAAUAUUGGACAAUGGGGGCAACCCUGAUCCAGCGAUGCCGCGUGAGUGAAGAAGGCCUUCGGGUCGUAAAGCUCUUUAGGUUGGGAAGAAGUUUACGUGGGGAUAAUCCAUGUAGAUUGACGGUACCGACAGAAUAAGCACCGGCAAACUCUGUGCCAGCAGCCGCGGUAACAC
rnacentral:rRNA from 1 species